UACAGAGGGGGCAAGCGUUAUUCGGAUUUACUGGGCGUAAAGGGUGCGUAGGCGGCGCGGUAAGUCGGGUGUGAAAUCUCGGAGCUUAACUCCGAAACUGCAUUCGAUACUGCCGUGCUUGAGGACUGGAGAGGAGACUGGAAUUUACGGUGUAGCGGUGAAAUGCGUAGAUAUCGUAAGGAAGACCAGUGGCGAAGGCGGGUCUCUGGACAGUUCCUGACGCUGAGGCACGAAGGCCAGGGGAGCAAACGGG
rnacentral:rRNA from 1 species